CCUACGGGAGGCAGCAGUGAGGAAUAUUGGUCAAUGGGCGCGAGCCUGAACCAGCCAAGUCGCGUGAGGGAAGACGGUCCUAUGGAUUGUAAACCUCUUUUGUAGGGGAGCAAAAGACGCAACGCGUGGCGUUCCGAGAGUACCCGAAGAAAAAGCAUCGGCUACCUCCGUGCAAGCAGCCGCGGUAAUGAGGAGGAUGCGAGCGUUAUCCGGAGUUAUUGGGUUUAAAGGGUGCGCAGGCGGAAGAUCAAGUCAGCGAAAAAAUUGAGAGGCUCAACCUCUUCGAGCCGUUGAAACUUGUUGUCUUGAGUGAGCGAGAAGUAUGCGGAAUGCGUGGUGUAGCGGUGAAAUGCAUAGAUAUCACGCAGAACUCCGAUUGCGAAGGCAGCAUACCGGCGCUCAACUGACGCGCAUGCACGAAAGUGUGGGUAUCGAACAGGAUUAGAUACCCCUGUAGUA
rnacentral:rRNA from 1 species